CAAGUCGAACGGUAGCACAGAGAGCUUGCUCUCGGGUGACGAGUGGCGGACGGGUGAGUAAUGUCUGGGAAACUGCCUGAUGGAGGGGGAUAACUACUGGAAACGGUAGCUAAUACCGCAUAAUGUCGCAAGACCAAAGAGGGGGACCUUCGGGCCUCUUGCCAUCAGAUGUGCCCAGAUGGGAUUAGCUAGUAGGUGGGGUAACGGCUCACCUAGGCGACGAUCCCUAGCUGGUCUGAGAGGAUGACCAGCCACACUGGAACUGAGACACGGUCCAGACUCCUACGGGAGGCAGCAGUGGGGAAUAUUGCACAAUGGGCGCAAGCCUGAUGCAGCCAUGCCGCGUGUAUGAAGAAGGCCUUCGGGUUGUAAAGUACUUUCAGCGGGGAGGAAGGUGUUGUGGUUAAUAACCACAGCAAUUGACGUUACCCGCAGAAGAAGCACCGGCUAACUCCGUGCCAG
rnacentral:rRNA from 1 species